GAGUUGUCAUAGAGUUAUUAGUAUGUUAUCUCAACCUCAUGAUGAGAAAAUUUUAGCAAGAGAGACUGGAGAGGCUGUUCACAAGUUUAAGAAAGUGGUGACUCUCUUAAAUUCUAAUUUGGGUCAUGCAAGAGUAAGAAAAACCAAGAAAAUUCUGACCCCUUUUCCCCAUAGCCUCUUGUUAGAGAAUUCAAGUUGUAAAAUUGUUGAUGAUCAGCUUAAACCCUUACAACUGC
rnacentral:misc_RNA from 1 species